rnacentral:lncRNA from 1 species
UGAACUGACAGCAUUUGAAGGUAUCAUCCCUUGGUGGGGGUGAGUAAGGAUGAGAUGUCCUUUUAAGAAUCUGCCAGGAUGUUGAUGAGUUUAAGAUAAGGUGGCUCUCUGAAACCAGAUGAGCUCAGUCCAGAAAUUGGGUGUUUUUGUGAUGUCAUCUGAGGCAAGCAAUUAGAGGUACUAUUCAAAGAAAGAUAAUUACAAGAGACAUAGCUCUCAGCUGGCUAAUGGUAUUGGAGGUCAUAAGGGCCGCGGGACUCAGGGAUGCCACCACUGCUCAUUGAGCUGCCACCUGCCUGGGAUCGGUAGGGGACUGAGGCUAGGUCACAGGCUCAGGGUUCGUCUCUGGCCACUCCAGGGAAUCAGCCCCUCUCUUCUCUACUCCUAGGACUUUCCUCUGACUCAGAUCCUGGUAUCGGCCUUCACGGAACAUGCCUGACACCCCAAUAGAAGACUCUAUUUUCCAUAUCAUUCACUGCUAUCACCUCUAUGCUGCUAGAGAGGGAGAUGUGGACACCCUAAGCCUGGACGAGCUCAGUGCCCUGCUCACAGAAAACAUGCCCCGAUUCAUGGAGGGUCUGGGCCGGAGUCAGCCGGAGUAUUUGAAGCAACUGUUUCAAGUGGCCGACAAGGACAAAGACAACCAGAUCUGCUUUGACGAAUUUAUCUACAUUGUGGGAAAGGUGAUGAAGGACUAUCACCUGCAGUACCACCGGCAGCUGUGUGCCCACUACUGCCGGGCAAAUGACCUGCACUGA